rnacentral:lncRNA from 1 species
GUUCUAGCGGCUUCAUCUCCUCCAGCCACAACGAUUUGACAGGAUUAAGGAGUCUGCCUUGGGUGCUUGGGGAAUUCUCUCGGCCAGGUGCUCAUUUCAUCCAGGUCGCCUGAAUGGAUGUGUUUUCAGAUUUGCCAAGUAUUCCCUCUCCACAGGUAGGCUCCAUCUGCAAAGCAGGAAGUGGUUAUUGGGGAGGCUGAAGUCCUCGGAGAGGGGUGCCCAGCAGAUGAGUGCAGGAGAGUCUCGUCCUCAUGCACAGGAGAGAGGUAAGAGCUAGAAGCGCAGCCAAGCUUGCUGAUUUCCAGCCCAUCACUCUGCCACUUGAUCAGCAGCUACUCACUGCCAUCUCUGGGUGCAGUAAGGUGAUGGCAAAAAUCCCCCCUUCCUCCCGCCUCCCUGGAAACACAUGGAUCGCAAUGUUACCGCUGUUUCUCACAUGGAGAAGUGGAGGAGUCUACCGACACCUGCACCUGUCUGCUCAGGUUGCCAUGGCGAGGGGCCACAGUCUGCUUGGCUUCCAUAACCUCAAUGUGAAAGAACCUAGGCUUUCACAGUUCUGCAGGCCAGCCAUCUGA